rnacentral:rRNA from 1 species
UACGUAGGGGGCAAGCGUUGUCCGGAUUUAUUGGGCGUAAAGAGCUCGUAGGCGGUUGGGCAAGUCACGUGUGAAAUCUCCACGCUCAACGUGGAGGCGCCACGUGAGACUGCCCUGACUCGAGUCCGGUAGGGGAGCGUGGAAUUCCCGGUGUAGCGGUGAAAUGCGCAGAGAUCGGCAGGAAGACCAAGGGGGAAGCCAGGCACCUGGGCCCGUACUGACACUCAUGGACGACCGCGUGGGGAGCGAACCGG